GACGAACGCUGGCGGCGUGCUUAACACAUGCAAGUCGAACGGGCCUGUCUUCUUUUUUGGGGGUGGGUUGAGUGGCGAACGGGUGAGUAUCACGUGAGUAACCUGCCCUUCGGUCCUGGAUAACCGCUUGAAAGGGCGGCUAAUACGGGGUGGUCCGGUUGGUCCGCAUGGGCUGGUCGGGAUAGAUUCACUGUUUUUGUUGUUUCGGCGGGGGAUGGGCUCGCGGCCUAUCAGCUUGUUGGUGGGGUGAUGGCCUACCAAGGCGGUGACGGGUAGCCGGCCUGAGAGGGUGGGCGGCCAGACUGGGACUGAGAUACGGCCCAGAAUCCUGCGGGAGGCAGCAGUGUGGGGUAUUGCACAAUGGGCGGAAGCCUGAUGCAGCGACGUCGCGUGAGGGAGGGAGGCCUUCGGGUUGUGAACCUCUGUUUACGGUGGUGAAGGCCCUGUCUGUGUGGUGGGGUUGACGGUAGCCGGGGAUGAAGCGCCGGCUAACUACGUG
rnacentral:rRNA from 1 species